UUUUCUGAGAUCAGCAAACAACUCUCCUCUCCUCCUUCCUAAACCACCCCCUUCCCGCUCACCCCCCCAACCCCCGCCCAUGCUACGCUGUGGAGAAGGAGGAAGUUUUGAGUAGGCAUCCAAAGUCAACAGGGCGCAGUGAGAAGCACUUAUACUGAGUGACCUGGGAUACAUAGACACCCUUAUGGAUCCUUGACAUCUGUGCUCCAUUGCUCCAAAAGCCAGCAGGAGUCUCAAGGGGAGAAACACGAAACCUCAUGAAACUCUAUGCAGGAAAACACCUGACCAGAAGACAAGGUUAUUGUCAGGUCCAGAGGAAACCCCACUUCCCCAAAUUCCAAAAGGCAGCACCCAGAAAUGACCGUCUUGACUCAGGGUCUGCUGAAGUAUAGGAUUACUGAAGGAUACUGCCAGCGUUCCUGAGGAACCCAUGAAAGAGUUUCUGUCCACCAGAAAGAGGGCCAGAUAUCGAUCUCCUGCA
ensembl:antisense Gm15848 predicted gene 15848